rnacentral:tRNA from 1 species
AUUUAUAUAGUUUAUUCAAAACAUUACAUUUUCAUUGUAAAAUAAAAAAAUUUUUUUUUUAUAAAUA